ACGCUCGACACCUACGGGGGGCAGCAGUGGGGAAUAUUGCACAAUGGGGGAAACCCGUGAUGCAGCGACGCCGCGUGGAGGAAGAAGGUCUUCGGAUUGUAAACUCCUGUUGUUGGGGAAAAAGAGGAUGGUACCCAACAAGGAAGUGACGGCUAACUACGUGCANNCGCCGAGUAUNGNGGCGGNGNGAGAG
rnacentral:rRNA from 1 species